UUGUAUAUUUUAUUUUUAAACUCAGACAGUACAGUUAAAAAGAGUUGGUUGUGGCUACUGGCGGGCACAGGCCAAAGGGUAAUAACACACCUCCAGCGGCCUAUAUUCAGAGCGGGCCCACCAAAGCAACAUGGUAGUAUUAACAAAGGGUUGGAGGUUCAGGGACUAACAGCCCCUUAGACUCGGUAAUGAUCCUUCCGCAGGUUCACCUACGGAAA
rnacentral:misc_RNA from 1 species